rnacentral:rRNA from 1 species
GACGAACGCUGGCGGCGUGCCUAACACAUGCAAGUCGAGCGGAGAUAAUAGCAAUGUUAUCUUAGCGGCGGACGGGUGAGUAACGCGUGGGUAACCUGCCUUAUACAGGGGGAUAACACAGGGAAACUUGUGCUAAUACCGCAUAACAUCAGACCAUCACAUGGUGGACUGAUCAAAGGAGCAAUCCGGUAUAAGAUGGACCCGCGUCCGAUUAGCUAGUUGGAGGUGUAACGGACCACCAAGGCGACGAUCGGUAGCCGAACUGAGAGGUUGAUCGGCCACAUUGGGACUGAGACACGGCCCAGACUCCUACGGGAGGCAGCAGUGGGGAAUAUUGCGCAAUGGGGGAAACCCUGACGCAGCAACGCCGCGUGAAGGAUGAAGGUUUUCGGAUUGUAAACUUCUUUAGUCGGGGACGAACAAAUGACGGUACCCGAAGAAUAAGCCACGGCUAACUACGUGCCAGCCGCCGCGGUAA